GCGGCUGCCUGAGAGAUAAAGUGAGAUGAAUGACUGGCAUUAGGCUCCUGUUGACUUGAUCCACUCGAUCCGUCAGAAGUAGGAUCAUCUGCUUUCAGACCGAGGUUGACUGCGGUUUCCAGCCUGCCAGCCUGAUCUACAAAUUCGAACUCAAGACCACAACAUCUACUCUUCCCUGAGUUUCCAGCCUGCUGGCCUGCCCUACGGAUUUUGGACUUGGCAGCUCCCAUAACUGCAUGAGCCAAUUCCUUAAAAUAACUCUCUUUACCUGCCUCCUGUUUCGGGUCUAGAAUAUCCAUCUUCUCCUGAAUGUUCUAAAGGUACUUAAAACACAGUAUGUCCUGGAUAGAAUCUGUUCUCUUUCUCCCCAAACCUGCUUCUCCAUAUAGGUGCCACCAUCCAUCCCAUCACCCAAGCUAAAAACUUGGG